CGCAGGUGGCCCCGGGGCGGCCCGGCGCGGGCACGGAGCGCGGUGACUUCCCCAGGCCGGGCGCCGAGACCUCAGAGCCGAUGGAAAGCGGGGGCGAUGCCGGAGCGGCACCUCGGCGGGGAGGCGGCGGGUUCCCGGGCGCUGCCCAGCCCGGCGCUCCCCCGGCUGCGGACGGCGGCGUGAACAUGGAUGGGCCCGGCGGGAGCAGGAGCGGGGCGGCCGCCGCUGCGGGACCGGCAGCGGAGGGAGCGCCCGCGCCGCCGCCCCGAGCGCCGUGCUCCAGGGACCCCAAAAUGGUCCAUCAGCGGUUCCUGCGGCGGAGCGUGGUGGACUCGGACCAGGAGGAGCCCGCGUUCGACCUUCCCGAGUCGGAGCAUCAGAGGAAAAUCAUCCUGCUCCCCAAAACCAGGAGGAUAAUCGCGGAGAGGGCGAAGGCAGGGCACGGGGCGGCGGAGAAGGUGUGCCUGGAGGCUGAGCCCCCGGGGCCGCUGCAGGCGGGGCCGGUCCCCGGUAGUGCGGCGGGGCCCGAGGAGCAGAAGGAGGCCGGCAAGGAUGCGGAGAGGAAGGAGGCGUCGGACGCGGCCAGGGAGCAGGGCAAGGCCAAGAAAGAGGAGCCCGAGGAGGAGGCUGACAUGAAAGCGGUCGCCACCUCGCUGGAUGGCAGGUUCCUCAAGUUUGAUAUUGAACUCGGGAGGGGAUCCUUCAAAACGGUCUAUAAGGGACUGGACACGGAGACGUGGGUGGAAGUCGCUUGGUGUGAACUUCAGGACAGAAAAUUAACAAAAGUAGAGAGACAGAGAUUUAAAGAGGAAGCAGAAAUGCUGAAAGGUCUACAGCACCCAAACAUUGUAAGGUUUUAUGACUUCUGGGAAUCCUGUGUAAAAGGAAAAAGGUGCAUCGUGCUGGUUACCGAACUGAUGACCUCUGGAACACUGAAGACGUAUCUGAAGAGAUUUAAAGUGAUGAAACCAAAAGUUCUGCGUAGUUGGUGCCGGCAAAUCCUGAAGGGUCUUCUUUUCUUGCAUACGAGAACUCCACCAAUAAUUCACAGAGACUUAAAAUGUGACAAUAUUUUUAUUACUGGACCAACUGGAUCUGUGAAAAUAGGAGACUUAGGUCUGGCAACCCUCAAGAGAGCUUCGUUUGCCAAAAGUGUAAUAGGUACACCAGAAUUUAUGGCCCCAGAAAUGUAUGAGGAACACUACGAUGAAUCCGUUGAUGUCUAUGCGUUUGGAAUGUGCAUGUUGGAAAUGGCUACCUCAGAAUACCCUUACUCAGAAUGCCAGAAUGCUGCUCAAAUUUACCGGAAAGUAACCUGUGGUAUAAAGCCAGCAAGCUUUGAGAAAGUUACGGAUCCUGAAAUUAAGGAGAUAAUUGGGGAGUGUAUUUGCAAAAAUAAGGAAGAAAGAUAUGAAAUUAAAGAUUUAUUAAGCCAUGCCUUUUUUGCUGAAGAUACUGGGGUAAGAGUAGAACUUGCGGAAGAAGACCAUGGUAGGAAAUCCUCUAUUGCCUUAAGACUCUGGGUAGAAGAUCCUAAGAAACUGAAAGGAAAACCCAAAGAUAAUGGAGCCAUUGAGUUUACUUUUGAUCUGGAGAAGGAAACUCCUGAUGAUGUUGCACAAGAAAUGAUUGACUCGGGAUUUUUUCAUGAAAAUGAUCUCAAGAUAGUUGCGAAGUCAAUACGUGACAGAGUAGCAUUAAUACUAUGGAGAAGAGAGAGAAUUUGGCCUAGAAUACAGUCAGAGGAACGUCGAGAUUCUGAAUGCUUGGAGAAGUCGAAGACACCGCAUCCACAACAGGUUCAAGUCACGUACCUUUCCCACACCGGUCAUCACAUCCUGUCCGAGUCGGAGGAGCCCGAGGCAGACCAGCAUCCCUUCCAGCAAAACCUGCCCACCAGCGUCACAUCUGUUGCAUCUGAUAGCACGUUUGACAGUGGUCAGGGGUCCACUGUUUAUUCAGACUCGCAGAGCAGCCAGCAAAGCGUCAUCUACUCAUCUCUGCCCGACGCCGUGCCGCCUGCCAUCCAGCGGGUGUACAGCCCGCCCCUCAGCGAGAGCCAGCCGCUGCCCCACAGCCUUCCGCAGCUGGGGCACUACCAGCAGCCCUCAGCACCUGCCCUGCCCGUGGUUCAGGCUCCGCCUGCAGUGGUUCCCCAGAGACCCCAGCACUACCAGGAGCCAGCGAUGACGUUCCCAGUGGUGCAGCCGACCACCGUGGCCUCCAUGCAGCUGGGGCAGUCACAGCCGGUGCUGGCCAGCCAGCAGCAACCCAUAUCACAGCAAACUUCUCUGCAGCAGGUUCUUGCCAGCCAGCCAGUUUGCCCCAUCCAGCCUGCACCUCAUCUCCUGCCCCAGUACCAGCCCCAGACCUCUCAGGUGGCAGCCAGUAGUACACCACUGAAACCCCUUCAGAUUUCAACUGUGCCACAGCUUCCGCCAGUCGCCCCUUCCCAGAUUCCUCAGUUUCCUGUCAUUCCUGCAAUUACUCCUCUGGCAGGACUUGACAACCUUCCUCCAAACCUCUCUGACAUACCUGCUGCAAACGUGCCCCCCAUACCUGCUCCUUCUCAGUAUUUUGCUCCAGCUGUGAUUUUACCAAGCCUCCCCAUGAACCCCACUUUGCCCAUGGCACCAAACUCCCCUGCCCUCCCCAUGCAGGCAGUGAACCUUCCUCAUACAACUGUGGCUUCUCUGGUCUUGCCCUGCCAAACAAUAGUGCCAAAUAUGUCGGCUGCUACAAUACCAUUGCUCGCUGUGGCUCCGCCGGGAGUGCCAGCGCUGCCGCCGCACCACGCGGUGUCCCAGCUGCCCCAGCAGCAGAUGUACCCGACCACCUUCCAGCAGAUAAUCCAGAGCGAAGCGCCCUCUCCCCAUCACACGCAGAGCACGCAAGCCGUUUCCCAGCCGCAGCAGCCUCCACCUCCUCAGUCGCUUCAGCCAAGCGUAAUUCAUCCUUCAGAACAGACGUUGUCUGCCCCUGGGGCCGGUAACCAGCAGGUUACUGGACACACUCAGUAUGGUUUGGAAACUGGAGCCCAGGUGCCGGUACUCCCAGUGCAGCCUUCGCUAGUCAUGUCACCGCCUUUGCAGUUGCAACCUGAACUAUUGCCUCCCCGCGUCGCUCCAGAAAGCAUUUCACAGAUUCAUGGCAGCCUUGCUACAGCUAGUCCACCAGUGCCCAUAGAUCACUGUCUGCCUCUCCAGCCUUCGGGUGUUCUGCAGCUUCAGCCAGACCUUUCCCAGCCCCUGGCUCAGCAGCUCCCUGCUCCCGGCUCAGCCGUGCAGGCAGUGGCAGAGACAUCGCAAGAGGAGCAGGCAAUCCAGGACAAACUUCAAACUCUGUCACAGAGCUGUGAAAGCUACAUGAGUCCAGAUGUUGCUUCAGGUAAAGAGAUGAGUGACAGCUUUGAAGGAGCAAUAGGAAGUGGAAAACAAGAAGGAAAGUCUUCAAAGAAGCAUAAGAAAUCUACACGUGCUCGUUCACGCCAGGAGAAGACCAACAGACCCAAACUGACCAUAUUAAAUGUUUGUAACACAGGGGAUAAGAUGGUGGAGUGCCAGCUUGAAACACACAAUCACAAAAUGGUGACUUUUAAGUUUGAUUUGGAUGGUGAUGCACCAGAGGAAAUUGCUACUUACAUGGUGGAGAAUGAAUUCAUAUUGCAGAGUGAGAAAGAGACAUUUAUUGAACAAAUGAAAGAUAUAAUUGAUAAAGCAGAAGAUAUGCUCAGUGAAGAUACAGAAGGAGAACGAAGUUCUGAUCAGGGAACAAGUCCCCAGCAGGAUACAGAUGGAGCAGAAAUGAAUGAGGAGAAGCGGCAAUCUCAAGUGAAGACGCCCGUGUAUCAACAAAAUGUUUUGCAUACUGGAAAAAGGUGGUUUAUUAUAUGUCCUGUGGUGGAAAACCCUACUACUGAUGCACCAGAAUUUUCUCCACCAGUUCCUCAGAGUGCACAACAAUCUGAAGGCCCAGACCUGGAGCAGUCAGAUGAUCAGCAAGCAAACUCUGCGGUGCCGGAUGCGCCUGGUGUCUUAGCUUGUCAGCAACUUCCUCUACAAGCAAGCGUCUGUGACAGCCCCAUUGGGGCCUCUCCAUCUUUGGCACAAAUUCCUGCUGCAGCAUCUUCAGCCGGCUUACCGAGCCAGGCAGAGCUCUCAGCUCCAGCGCCGCCGGGACCCGCUCCAAACGUCUUGGAGCAGGCAGCUGCUAACACAGGCCAGCCGGAAUGUCCCCUACUGAAAGCAGCGUUGCCCGCCACACCUGGCACUCCGGCCCCAGGUGCUGCCCCGCUGGAGGAGCCCACUGAUGCUCCCCUGGCUGCUCAGCCUACUCAGCACAUGCAGCAGCAGGCAGACGAGGCCAUGUGUAUCCCUGACGUGGAGAUAGCAUGUUGCAGUGUCGGGCCGCCCAAAGCAGCCCCGCCAGCUCCUGCCAAGGCAGCGGAGCUCUGCCCGCUCCCUGUGCUCUCAGAUGCCGUUGUUUUGGAGCGGCAGCCUGCGGCCCAGAUCCCUCACCUGCCAGAGGCCGGCCAGCCUGGCAUGGUGCAGCACUCCUUUGUGAACCAAGUGUUUCCUGCAUCUGUUGCAUCCGAGUCUCUCAAUCUGGCAGGGUCUCAACUUCAGAGCCCUACUCAGGUGUCCAUGGCCGCAUCCCAGCAGCACGUGAUGCUGUCCCAGACACAGCCCGUCACCUGCGCCAGCAUGGGGAUCAGCCUGCUGCAGCAACAGCAGCAGCAGCCGUGCACUGUGGAGUCAGACGGAGAGGGGCCACCCCGGGUGGACUUUGUUGACAACACGAUAAAAAGCCUCGAUGAGAAAUUGCGCAACUUACUUUACCAGGAAUAUGUCCCGACGUCUUCUGCAUCAGCAGGAACUCCAGAUGCUUUUGUGCCAUUGGAACAGGCAGAUAGUGAGUUUAACUUGCCACCAUUUACCGAAGAUCAAGUUCCCAAGUUGGUGUUGGAUUUAAGAGAACCAGGCCAUAAUGCCAUGGAUACCAGCCAGGAGGUGAAAGCUGCUGAGGCCCAGUUUGUGCCGGCUGUGCCACCUGAGAUCGCACCUUACCCAGUAUCGCGUGAAAAAUCUGAGGUCACUGGCAUCGGGGCUGAGUCCUUGGAAGCACGAGGUGGGUCAGCAAGCAAAAGAGGAUCAGCUGCAAGCAUCACUCCAGCUCCUGUGACUCCAGCAAAGGGCCUCCUUCAGGUUGCACCUACAUCAUCGAGCGUAGCUAAACAGAUGGAAACUUCUAAAACGAACGAGAAGGCAAAGGCUACAACUUCAUCUACGCACACGGAUAAUGCAAGGCAGCUAUCGACAGCAGAUGGGGUGAUAAAUAACCUUCAAAGGGAUGACUCUCUAGACUCCGGUUCCUAUGGAAAACAGGCUGGAACUCAUGAUAGCGGUACACCAGCCAAAACUAUUGGCAGGUUUUCAGUAAGCAGCACGCAAGAUGAAUUAACUUUAGCAGCGCCGCAUUGCUUAAGAUUCUCUGCGCCCCCGGACGUCUAUUUGGAUGAGCUUCCUUCCAGCCCUGACCAGAAGACAGCUGUCCGACGGGUGCAGACGGCCUCGUCUGUUGAUGUCCUCUGUGACCAGGGCUCGAGUGAUUCUGCUGAGGAGCCCUUCCAUCGGCAGGCUGCUGCGGCUCAGCCAUCCCCUCCGAGCAGCAGCGCAGCCUCCGACUUAAUUAAAAAAGCAGCAGCUUUUCUGCAAAGGACUGGAAAAGUAGGCUCCCAAGGCCCCGAUUCACCGAACGGGCAAGGAACAAAGAUUCCUACCAUCAACAUAACGUCGUUCCACUCGCAGUCAUCAUACAUGAGCAGUGACAAUGACUCUGAAUUUGAAGAUGCAGAUAUGAAGAAAGAAUUGCAGAACUUGAGAGAAAAGCAUAUGAAAGAAAUUGCCGAACUUCAGACUCAGCAAAAGAAUGAGAUAGAGGCGCUGUACAUGCGGUUAGGGAAGCCCCUUCCUCCCAACAUGGGCUUCCUUCACUCAGCCCCGCCAAGUGGCCGUCGCCGAAGAACCAGCAAAAAUAAACUGAAAGGUGGAAAGCUAUUAAACCCUCUGGUUCAACAGCUCAGGAGUGGAACAUCAAGCACAAGUAAUGUUUCAGACUCUAAAGACUCACCCCACAAGGAAACAACUAAGGCUCAGCCUGGAUCUCCCGAAACAACAGGAGUAACUUCUUCUGUGUCAGCCACAUUUGGGAAGUCUGUUCAGACACAGCAGCCGUGCUCUGUCAAAGCCUCUUUGUCUUCUGACAUCUGCUCCGGCUUAGGCCCCGAAGGAGGCGAUGUGAACGCAAGCUCUGGCCAAGGAUCCUCUACAAACAGUCUUGUAACGUGUCCUGAGCCCCUCCCGCAAUCAACUCUGCAGGUUCAGGCCAACAACAGCAACAACAAGAAGGGAACGUUCACCGAUGAUCUUCACAAGCUGGUUGACCAGUGGACAAGCAAAACUGUUGGAGCUGCACAGGCAAAACCUUCUUUAAACCAACUGAAGCAGAACCAAAAAAGGCAGGACAUGGAGCCAAAGGCAAAUCCCAUGCAAACACAGAAUGAGACAUGUGGAGUUAAUUCAGUAAGAACAGGAUUGGGGAAAAGGUGCAUUGCUCCAGUGUCUUGUCCCAUGUCAGCUGCACUAACUCCUGGAGUUUCACCAUCCAUGCCAGUGCCUAUGCCAGUUUGCACCGUAGGCGGCACGGACACCUCUCUCCUGUUUGCGAGUUGCUUUUUGCCUCUUUUACUGUGCUUAGAGUCUACAUCUGCGCCUCUCAGUCUAAAGGCACAAGGUAACCACUAACCCUGAUUUGCUGAUGGUAAGUUUCAUGUCUAUAGAUGGCACUGAGGGCCAUCCCUACAGGCACAGGGAACCAAAGGAGCGGUCAAACCUGAAGGCGCAUUGCUCUGUAUCUCUACUGCAAUGACGUUCUAUGCUGUCUGCUGACGGGCAGAGAUGUCUUGUGCUGCCAAGCUGUGAAUUGUAUAGUUCUAUUGUACUUUGAGCAUUAUUCUGUCUAAAUUAUUUUGUUUGUACCCUUUGAAUAUAUUAUUCCAUCAAUUCAGUUAGAAUUGAAUUUUAUAGACAAUUAUGCAGAGUCUUCUGCCUGGGCAAAAUACUUACUGUAGUAAGAGAUUUCUGUUCUCUGUAACAUGUAUCUUUAAUUUGUUUGGGUUUUUUAGAUUCAUGUCUGUAUGCUUCAUGAGCAAACAUGGAAAAUAUGUUCUCACACCAGUUUUCCUUCAGCUUGCACUGAAUCCUACAGUUUGUCGCUAUUGCCUGUUGUAUAGACCAUCCCUUGUAUACUGACAGAGUCAGUGGCACUAAAAGCCCCGAGAAAUUGUAUAGAUCGAAAAGAAGAAAAAUAAACAUUUUGUGCUUGAAAACCGUGUGAAAAACCCGGUGUUUUUCUAAAAAGAGAAGCAUGUCAAUUCCCCAUUCUCCCGGGUCACUCUGCGCCUGUUUUCCAGCCUUCUGUGUGAAGGACUAGAUGCGUUACUUCUCCUGCACCUCGGUGCCUGCCCAGAGCUGCAUUCCACCUCUUGCAGCUGUAGAUGUGAUGCGGUGCUCCAGAAGCGACAUAGUGCCACCCCGCAGAACCUCGCUGCUGCUGCAGCAUUUCUGGUGCUCUGCUGCUGCAAAGCAGGCCGGGCCAGAACGUUAAAUGGGUUAUUUUAAGAGAUGGUAUCUUUAGCAUCUCAUUUGUACUGCCAGCGAUACUGCAGUUGGGUAGGUGGUAAAUGAGGCGUUUGGACCGUGCACAUUCCACAUUGCAAGUACCGGGGAAGCCCCAUUAGCAUGAUCCUGGCAUAAUUUAAAUGUGAGGGAGGGCAUCAAAGAAACUUGGCCCCAGUACAAGUUUGUGCUGUGUGCACACUCUUGCCAGUCACUGAUGUCGGUGUAGACUGCAAUAGAAAUGAGGAAGGGGUGUGCAGGAAGAGGUUUGAUACUUCUGCUCCUGUGGUUCUGUGCAUCUGAUCCAUGCAGCUUUGCUGUGGGUGCUGUGUACGUGUCAGGUGCCAGCCCUGCACUGCUGGUUGCUGGAGCUGUCCCUCCUCCUUUGACAUGGCCAAAGCUGAGGGAGCGUGCGGGGCUGCCUGGUGCCAGGGUUGGUCCAGAGCUAACCACGUUCAUUUUCUCUUUUAAAAUGAAGCUUUCAGCUUUUUAGUGUCUGCUUUCCUAAGCGGGGCAUCUUUAGCUAGCGGUGGGGCCAGAGGUUGAUGCUUUCAUUUCACAGUGUUCAUGACUUGAAUUUUGUGAUAGCCAUCUUGUCUUCAGUUUUCUGGCUGUGAACUUCCAGCUAUGUUUUGUUAUCCUUGAUCAUGCUGAAAGGUGCUUUGGCCCUUGAUAGAAAUUAAGCAAAUGACGUGGGAUGGAACAAAUGGGGCAACUUCUUGAAGAAAAUGUGAACAGAAUUGCUUUGCCUGCAUCUUUGGAAAGACCAAGUGCUCUGCUCCAAGGGGCUGCUGGUCAUUGGAUGUUUUGUGUUUUAAGAAACAGUUUUUGUUUCUUAAAAGCUGAAGUAUAUUUCUAGGAAGUCCACUUAAAUAGGACCAGUGGGCAAGAACUUGACUGUUAGCUACGUGCCUGUGCUUUAUACAAAGCCUUCUAAAAGCAAAAGGUGUGUGCAUGGCACGUAUUGGUGCCGCUCAGGCAGCAAGGCUGCCUGGUGUGCCGUGGGCUGGCUCCCGAUGGCCUGUGCGUUUUGCUGGAUUUAACCAACUUGUGCUGAGCCCUGUCAUCCAGCCUUAGCCUGGAGCAGGAGGCACCACAGGGCUGGUGCUGAAGCAUUGGAGGGGGGACAAGAUAUUGAAAGAGGGCUUCCAGCUGCUAAGUCACACAGCUGGUGGUAAGGAACUGGAAUGGGACCGGUCUCAUGUUAGGAAUGCAUCCAUCGACAGGGCAGCGUGGGAGGGGACCCUGCACACUUCAAGGCUCGCUUGUUCAUCUUGGCUCGGCCUCCCUGGCACAAGUGUCCAAUGAUUGAUGUAAAAACUUUCCCUUGCGUAACUCUGGUGUUCAUUCUAUAACUUAGUAUUAUUUAGCUGUUACUUUACACCUACCCCUCUUCCAUCACUGUCCAAUACAGCUUCCUUCAUUUCUCUCUGAGAUAUUUGACAUUGGUGGUUGUCAAAAGCAGGCUGAUGAACUGGACAGGCUGGUUGUCUGGCCAAGCGUGGCAGUCUGUGCGCUCCUGCAGAUUGAUUCCUGUUUGGAAAGAGGUAGUAGUGCUAAAUGCCAGUAUUUCUGAAAUGAACUUCCAAUCAAGAUGCGGGUUUUGCCAUUGGAUAUUUGGGGAAGAAAAUCCCUAAUGCCUUUGUGUCAUUCGUGAGGUUAACUUUACUUAACUUAACAGCUUUUUCAGCAGUUGCUUUUUCCCUUGAAGCAUUUUUGUGGCCCUGGUGCAGUGCUUCCAGUUCAGAGAAGUCAGAAUUUUCCUCAUAGACCUACUGUUCAGAGUGUUCAUGUUGGUAUUGCUCAAUAAGCAUGAGUUUGUUAUGGGCAUUGUUUGAGUGGUAAACACAUUCUUCUACAUCCUUUGAAAGUCAGCCCUGGAGAGUUUUGAUCAAAAGUCUCUGUUCUGAAAUCACUUGACCUCAGCAUUGCUUUCCCCAUCCCGCCUGAAGAAUGGCAAAGAUUUCAAGACUUUUGAGCAAGGUUGGCAUCUCAGAAGUUAGCCAAUAUGGCAAAAACCUGCUUAGUUUUCUGCAUUGCUGCCGAGGAUUCCCCGCCUGAGUUUCAGUGAUGUUGUUGAGGGUGUUGGCUUGGAGAUGCAGUAGUUUGUGAGUGUUUCAUACCUUUGUGAAGUGUUUUGUAUUCUGGUUCCUCUUCUGGCCUUCUCAGUCCCUGAUUUUUGGUGAUGUUUGUGGAAAAGGCUGGCUGUGCUGGAGAGGCGUGUCUGCUGAAUAGGGCCAAGAUCUCUGCAGCGUCCGCAAGCUGGAGCUUCAUUAGAGUUACAGAAUUGUAGAAUAUCACAAGUUGAGACCCAUUGUCAUGGAUGGAUGACUGUCUUGCUGUAGGAUUGGAUUUAUAAUAUGGCAAGAACAUGAUCACCUGGAAUCUCUUGACGUGGUUAUUUAUUGAAUCCUUGAGCAUGGGUUAUUUUUAGUAGUUUUUUUCUUUUUCUGUGUGUGUGUUUUUGUGGGGUUGACUUGUGCUUGUGCAGCUGUAUGAAAUGCAGAUGUGAGCUGAGAUUCAGCUGGGUAUUUGUGCAGGCUGACUGCUGCGCUGAUUGUUAUGUUUCUCUUGAAUGAACCUGGUAAAUACAAUUAUCUCCCUGUCUAUAUUGCUGAAACUAACUGUUGAGCAGAUGCGGGCUCUUGGGGCUGCCAUGUGUCGGUGAUGUUUGCCUGAGCAGGACUUGCCUUUUCCCAAGGGCUGUUUGUGGAGCUGUCCCUGCAUGUGCAGCAGGAAGGCGGUGUUCCGGCCCUGGCUCCAUGUUCUCUUAUUGAUGCAGACAAGCUGUAGAAGUGCACCAUAAUAAAACAGAUUUUAGGAGCUGUCAGGUUACAAAUUCUGCAUUAUGAAAGAAUUUCUUACUCAAAGGGACUUGGAUGUACUGUGGUGCUGAUGUUAGCUGUGUCGGUAAAUAGAUUACCUGUAACUGAUUCAUCUGGAAGGCUCAUACCAGGAGGCAGCAACUUCUGUAAAUUGUGUGGUCCCUUCUGCUAUUUUUCAUCUUCCGAAGUGAUAGCCUACUAUUAGGAUUGCUGUUACAUACGCUUGGAUCUAUAUUUGACUGUAAGACUUCUCCCUUGAAAUAAACUCCCCAACGAGAAGUCCAGAGGCUGCAUGAUUCAAGCCUUCACUUACACAUACGCAAACUUACUAAACUUUAGGUCUUUCUUGCUAAGGGUGGAGAAGCCAUGCACAGAAGAAGACCUGGUCUCACUGGGGAUCUGCUGUAAUGGUGGAAUUCUUGUGACAAGCCUGUGCUGGGUCUUUUUGAAGUCUGCAGAGGAAGGAACGCUCAGUUCCCACUGGGUGGGCUUUAAGGUGGUCUCUUCCAACCCAAGCCAUUCUGUGAUUGUUAUGGCUUCUCCAACUCCGGCCCAUCCUGCCUGCUGAGUGUGGCCGCAGCACUCCUUUGCUUUUGGAGCUUUGAGUAAUGGGACAGGCAUGCUGAGAGCCUCCUGAGCUGCUGUGCUCAUUUUGGGGGGAUCUGUCAAAGUCUUUCUGACUGAGAUAUUCAGGAGCUCUGACAUCUUGUAAAAACUUGGGAAGUUUAAAAAGAAAUAGCUGGUGCUCAUCCUUCUCAAAAUGAUGUUCUUUAGGUUAUUGGCAUAAAAUAACCUCUAAAAAUUAUUUACUCCUGUUGUUGUUUGGUGGUCUUCUUUUAUUUACUUGUAAACAAGGUAGAAACUUCUUCAGCAUUCAGUUUUUGUUUAUCAGGUUAGAUAUAGAACACCUAACACAUUUCUUAGUGCUUGUUUCCUUCUCUCUGGUCAGCAGCUACAAGAUACUAGGAGAUACUGGGCACAGGUUUUCCCACAAUGUUCUCCAACACAGAAAAUGUUGAGUGUAACUGAAUUCACUGAUCUCUUCAGUGCUGUAGAUGUUGCCCUUUCAGUUUUUGGCCAAGAGUUCAGGCUGCCUUCAGAAUAAGAAGUUCAGAAGUUGUCCACUGGGACAUGGGCUGAGUAUCUGUGAGGGUUUCUAUCAAGAACCAGGCACCUGGAGAGCUCGCUCUCAUUUUGGCUUGAUGGCUGACCCGCUGUGUAGGCUGGGGUACGUCCCAUUGCUAUCUUAAGGUUUUUCCCUGUUACCUGGAGAUCAUUAAUUUUGUCUUGUUUCAUUUUUCCUGGAUGAACUUCAGUGCCAGACGCUAGUGGGCAAAUGUUGAGAACUGUGGCGGAUUCAGGUGGAUCUGCAGAACCGAUGUUGAGCAGAAGCUUGUGGAAGGAUGACAACCAAGACACAGUUUUACUUCCUUUAAAGCAAUUCUUUCUACAGACAGACAGAGCAAGAAAGAGGGGAGGGAGAAAACUGGGACUGCAGUUAAUGAGAGCAAAGCCCAAAACAGGGAAUCCCCCCAGGAGCUAUGCCAAACACACAGUCUGUUUGCAGAGCACGCUUUUCCCCCACGUCCCAUGUAUUCCCUUCUGCCCUGAAGUACCCACUGCUUUUUUUUUUUUUCUGGAAGAAUGUUGCAAGCUUUAUGCUAUAUAAAAAUACAUGUGCUUGCAGAUCCAAUAACCAGUGAGCACGUUGCUGGGAUGUAGAGCGAGGGACGUCGGUUCACGUGCUGGCCCUGUGCUGCUGCUCCCACCCGGUGCUCGAUUCUGAAAAUGCGAUCGUCAGCGACUGACACGUGGCCCCCGCAGCUACGGUGCCAAGCGCCAGGUCCCGCUGCAGCUAAGGAGGAGGAAGAGGAAGAUGGGAAAUGAUUUGUCGUGUGUGAGAAAUUCUGUGCCGUUCUGGUCCAUUCUACACAAUUUUGUAACUUCUUUCUAAUCAUUUUUUUUAUUUAUAGUUGGAAAUACAAAAAUGUUAUGCAAAAAAUAAAGGAAAAUUAUUUUGGGGGAAAAGGACUUUGUUCCAAAUCGUUCCCUUCUGUUGUGAGCCAGGUUCCUGUGAGCAGCUUCUGGAGGAGAGGGAGGAGGAGGAGGAGGAGGCAUUCUUUCAAAUACUUUUUGUUUCAUACAGCUAAUUGUAAUUCAAGUGAUUAUCCAAAAGAUAAGCUAGGCACAUGUAUUCAGGUUCCACCAAAAAAAAAAAGUUCCAAGUCCAUUUGAAUUUCUCGCAGUCAGAGCUGUUCUUUUGUAAAGAGAAUACUUAAAAUCUGGUUAAAUCAAGUAAAGAAACCUACAGAGACUUCACUGGAGAGUAACUUUGUACUUGUCGUUUCCUUUUUUUUUAGCUCUUUCUUUUUCCUCGAGACUGGCCACAUUUUCUUGCCAGAGUUAAAUACAGUUCUCGAGUCACUUCUAAUUUUAAAUGUGAGCCUGAAAUCCUUCUGCAGACAAGUCAGUAAUUGGAGCAAUUUUUAAAAGACUUUCAAGUGCCUUCAACGAGCUAAAAUUAUGGUGGUGGGAGAUUUCUUUUCCUUGAUUCACUCACAAUAGGCUUCAGCUGUCUGCUGGGCUGGGGCGAUGUACAGAGCCGUUUGUAGCAAUAAUCUCAUGAGUAAUCAUUUAUUACAAAGGACUACUCGACUUUUUUUUUUCUUUUAGAGCGGUGGCUUUUAGUGCAGUUCCCGAGGAGCAGGAGUGCUGCUUUUGCCAUUGCGUUCUGGCCCCAAACUCUUCCAACCCACUGCUGUGCACUCAGAUUUCAGUGGCUUCCCCUCAGCAGGGUCAGACCCUGUGUUCUGUUCGCUCUGCUUCUGGUACCAGAGAAAUAUGGAUUUCUAGUUGCCCAUGAGCCUUUCCGUAUCAUCCCUUCUCGCAUCCGGAGCCUGGCAUAUUGUUUCGUUGUUAUCUGCCAUGUUUGUCUCUUCCAGCUCUCAGUUCUAAAUAAUAAAUCUUAUUUUGAUGCC